rnacentral:rRNA from 1 species
GACGAACGCUGGCGGCGGGCUUAACACAUGCAAGUCGAACGGAAAGGCGCUGCUUGUGUGGGGUGCUCGAGGGGCAAGGGGGUGUGUAGCACGGGAGUAACCUGGGCUGGGCGGUGUGAUAACUGCAGGAAACUGGGGCUAAUACCGAAGAGCAGCUCCUGCUGCAGGGGGGGGUUCGGAAAUUUUGGGCGGUGGGGGAUGGAUGCGCGGCUUAUCAGCUGGUUGGUGGGGUAGUGGCUUAGCAAGCCUUUGGCGGAUAGCCGGCCUGAGAGGGUGAACGGCCACCUUGGGCCUGCGAUACGGCCCAGUCUCCUACGGGAGGCAGCAGUGGGGAAUAUUGCACAAUGGGCGGAAGUCUGAUGCAGCGACGCCCCGUGCGGGAUGCAGGCCUUCUGGUUAUAAACCGCUUUCGCCUGUGACGAAGCGUGAGUGACGGUAAUGGGUAAAGAAGCACCGGCUAACUACGUG